rnacentral:rRNA from 1 species
AGAGUUUGAUCCUGGCUCAGGAUGAACGCUGGCGGCGUGCCUAAUACAUGCAAGUCGAGCGAACAGAUAAGGAGCUUGCUCCUUUGAAGUUAGCGGCGGACGGGUGAGUAACACGUGGGUAACCUACCUAUAAGACUGGGAUAACUUCGGGAAACCGGAGCUAAUACCGGAUAACAUUUAGAACCGCAUGGUUCUAAAGUGAAAGAUGGUUUUGCUAUCACUUAUAGAUGGACCCGCGCCGUAUUAGCUAGUUGGUAAGGUAACGGCUUACCAAGGCGACGAUACGUAGCCGACCUGAGAGGGUGAUCGGCCACACUGGAACUGAGACACGGUCCAGACUCCUACGGGAGGCAGCAGUAGGGAAUCUUCCGCAAUGGGCGAAAGCCUGACGGAGCAACGCCGCGUGAGUGAUGAAGGGUUUCGGCUCGUAAAACUCUGUUAUUAGGGAAGAACAAAUGUGUAAGUAACUGUGCACAUCUUGACGGUGCCUAAUCAGAAAGCCACGGCUAACUACGUG